rnacentral:rRNA from 1 species
AAGCUUUGGGCGGGAGAGGGAAUAAGUUGGACAAAUUACUUGGAGGCAAAGGUGUUGCACCCC